rnacentral:rRNA from 1 species
AGUACGGCCGCAAGGCUAAAACUCAAAGGAAUUGACGGGGGCCCGCACAAGCGGCGGAGCAUGCGGAUUAAUUCGAUGCAACGCGAAGAACCUUACCAAGGCUUGACAUGAACCGGAAAGACCUGGAAACAGGUGCCCCGCUUGCGGUCGGUUUACAGGUGGUGCAUGGUUGUCGUCAGCUCGUGUCGUGAGAUGUUGGGUUAAGUCCCGCAACGAGCGCAACCCUCGUUCUAUGUUGCCAGCGCGUUAUGGCGGGGACUCAUAGGAGACUGCCGGGGUCAACUCGGAGGAAGGUGGGGACGACGUCAAAUCAUCAUGCCCCUUAUGUCUUGGGCUUCACGCAUGCUACAAUGGCCGGUACAAAGGGUUGCGAUACUGUGAGGUGGAGCUAAUCCCAAAAAGCCGGUCUCAGUUCGGAUUGGGGUCUGCAACUCGACCCCAUGAAGUCGGAGUCGCUAGUAAUCGCAGAUCAGCAACGCUGCGGUGAAUACGUUCCCGGGCCUUGUACACACCGCCCGUCAAGUCACGAAAGUUGGUAACACCCGAAGCCGGUGGCCUAACCCUUGUGGGGGGAGCCGUCGAAGGUGGGACCGGCGAUUGGGACUAAGUCGUAACAAGGUAGCCGUACCGGAAGGUGCGGCUGGAUCACCUCCUU